AAGUCGUAACAAGGUUUCCGUAGGUGAACCUGCGGAAGGAUCAUUAAAGAGAAAAAGGGGCUCCGGCCCCGGGGGUUUCGGCCCUUCUCUCCAUCCUUUGUCGAACGAACCUCUGUUGCUUUGGCGGACCUUGGGGUCACACCCACGCCGGGGGGCUCACGCCCGCCGGCGCGCGUCCGCCGCUAGCCCACAAUUCCAUCCUGUGUCCGGUGCAGUCUGAGUGAAAACAAAAAUCAAGCAAAA
rnacentral:misc_RNA from 1 species